CCUACGGGUGGCAGCAGUGAGGAAUAUUGGUCAAUGGCCGGAAGGCUGAACCAGCCAUGCCGCGUGAAGGUCAGUGCCAUAUGGGCGUUAAACUUCUUUUGUGCGGGAGCAAUAAUGGUCACGUGUGGCCAGACGAGAGUACCGUACGAAUAAGCAUCGGCUAACUCCGUGCCAGCAGCCGCGGUAAUACGGGGGAUGCAAGCGUUAUCCGGAUUUAUUGGGGUUAAAGGGUGCGUAGGGUGUGAGGUAAGUCAGCGGUGAAAUGCCCCCGCUCAACGGGGUGAAGUGCCAUUGAUACUGCCUUGCUGGAAUGCGGAUGCCGUGGGAGGAAUGUGUGGUGUAGCGGUGAAAUGCAUAGAUAUCACACAGAACACCGAUUGCGAAGGCAUCUCACGAAUCCGCGAUUGACGCUGAUGCACGAAAGCGUGGGUAUCAAACAGGAUUAGAUACCCGUGUAGUC
rnacentral:rRNA from 1 species